rnacentral:rRNA from 1 species
UGCUGGGCUUUAACUGACGCUGAGGCACGAAAGCGUGGGUAGCAAACAGGAUUAGAUACCCUGGUAGUCCACGCUGUAAACGAUGAUUACUAGGUGUGGGGGGUCUGACCCCUUCCGUGCCGCAGUUAACACAAUAAGUAAUCCACCUGGGGAGUACGACCGCAAGGUUGAAACUCAAAGGAAUUGACGGGGGCCCGCACAAGCAGUGGAGUAUGUGGUUUAAUUCGAAGCAACGCGAAGAACCUUACCAGGUCUUGACAUCCUAGGAAUCCUUUAGAGAUAAGGGAGUGCCUUUCGGGGAAUCUAGAGACAGGUGGUGCAUGGUUGUCGUCAGCUCGUGUCGUGAGAUGUUGGGUUAAGUCCCGCAACGAGCGCAACCCUUACUGUUAGUUGCUACGCAAGAGCACUCUAGCAGGACUGCCGUUGACAAAACGGAGGAAGGUGGGGAUGACGUCAAAUCAUCAUGCCCCUUAUGACCUGGGCUACACACGUACUACAAUGGCCGUCAACAGAGGGCAGCAAAAUGGUGACAUGGAGCAAAUCCCUAAAAACGGUCUCAGUUCAGACUGCAGGCUGCAACUCGCCUGCACGAAGGUGGAAU